GGGCCCGUAGCUCAGCCAGGUAGAGCGGCGGACCCAGCACCCGUAGGUCCCGGGUUCAAAUCCCGGCGGGCCCGCCA
rnacentral:tRNA from 5 species